rnacentral:rRNA from 1 species
CGGCAACAGCUCAAAUUUGAAAUCUGGCCCCCUCGGGGUCCGAAUUGUAAUUUGGAGAAGAUGCUUUGGGUGUGGCCCCGGUCCAAGUUCCUUGGAACAGGACGUCACAGAGGGUGAGAAU